CCCCCACCCCCGUCCAGGAGUUUUUAAACUUUAAAGAGCAGGUUACAUCGACCUGCCCCAGCCUUUGUCCCUCGGACACCGCGCUCAGCCACCGAAAAGCCGCGGGGCCCGCGUCCCGCCGCCUUGCCUCCGCCCUCCCCCCGGAGAGCAUCUGGAGAGAGGGAGAGAGAGAGAGAGAGAGAAAGGGCGCGUUCAUGAGGACUACAAAGUUACAAAUAUGGCUCCCCAGUCUCUCUUGCCUGAUCACUGCAAAGAAAUGAAGACGCACUUCAAACUAAACCCUUCCCAACUCCCUCGCAGUCCCUGUCUGCCUCUCCCUGCCCAGCACCCAGCACAAAUAUUGGCCAACUAAACACGCCAGGAGAGGAGCACCAACUUAUUUUUAUUUAAUGCCCGGCGAGCCCCCUCCGAGGCAUCGCGCACCGGCAGAGGCAGGAGCAGCCUCGAGUUUUCCCCCGAAACCGUAGCGCGUGCGGCCCUGGCACCCCCAAAAUUGGGGGGAGGGGGCACAACCCCCCCCCUCCGCGCACACGCACAGGUAGGCACCUCAAGGGCAGCGGCGGCCCCGCUGCCCCCCUCGCCGCCUCUCCCCCUGAAUCGUGGGGGGGAGGGGGUUUCACCCUCCCUCCACACCCCCACCUCCCCCCCCCCCCCAAAAAAAAAAAAAAAAACAACAAAA